UUAUGAUCUUGAUUGGAGCAUGAUUCUGCAAUGGACCUUAUUCACGGCAGCGCCAUCUUUGAUUUUUAACGGGAAUGAAAGCGAGGCUGAAGGACAGACAUAUCUCUUCACUCCGACGGCCACAGAGCUUGACCCACUGCGGACCCCAGCCAUCAUGGCCGCCACGCCAGAGUCCCCAUACAUCAUGGCCGCCACACCAGAGUCCCCUGCCAUCAUAGCCGCCACACCAGAGUCCCCAGCCAUCAUGGCCACCACGAAAGAAUCUUCAGCCAUCAUGGCCGCCACGCCAGAGUCUCCAGCCAACCUGGCCGCAACACCAGAGUCCCCAGUCAUUGUGGCCGCCACAGUAGAGUCCCCAGCCACCAUGGCCGCCACGCCAGAGCCCAGAGAGUACAGCGCUGACCAUAAUGUCUACGGCUAUUUUGUGUGUGUGGGCUGCACACACAGCUGCAGCCCCUCCUAAGAACAGCUCUCCCAGACACAGUUACGGAGGCCAUCCCAGAGCCGCCCGCCCCUAAGGCCAACCCUAACCUCUCUGUGCCUUCUCUUACAGUUUCACCUGAUCUGCUGUGGUGGUCUUCCGCUCCGCCGUGGGGAUCUUAAGCCCUGUCUACUCCGCUGUGGUGGACUUCAGCACCACAGCCCUGGCCACCUACUCAGCCUGCUCCGCCUUGGCCACAUGCUCUGCCUCUGUCCCCGGGUCCUCUUCCUUUCCACGGACCUGGCCCACCAUUCCUCCCCUGUUCUGCCUCCGCUCCACCACCCACCUGGUUGGGGUUGGGGGCUCUGUCAUAUAUUCCCCAUGUCUUGUCUGGACUUUUGUUAUAUUUCCUGUCUUGUGUGCCAUGUUUGUAGAUCAUUGUAGUUUUUCAUGUUGAUCAGUCUCCUCGGGUGUGUCUUGUUUUCUCAUUAUCUUGUUAAGUUUGUUUGCCCCGUGUAUAUAUAGCCUUGUGUUUCUCUUGUGCUUUGUCAGUCAGUGUUUGGUGUUUCCUACAUUUACAUGCUCCCUGUGUUUCCCAGUUUGGAUUUAUUUGUGUUUGUUUAUUAAAUGUACUCCUAGCACUUA